AUUGAACGCUGGCGGCAUGCCUUACACAUGCAAGUCGAACGGCAGCAUGGGGGCAACCCUGGUGGCGAGUGGCGAACGGGUGAGUAAUACAUCGGAACGUGCCCGAUAGUGGGGGAUAGCUCGGCGAAAGCCGGAUUAAUACCGCAUACGACCUACGGGUGAAAGCGGGGGAUCGCAAGACCUCGCGCUAUCAGAGCGGCCGAUGUCAGAUUAGGUUGUUGGUGGGGAAAGGCCUACCAAGCCGACGAUCUGUAGCUGGUCUGAGAGGACGACCAGCCACACUGGGACUGAGACACGGCCCAGACUCCUACGGGAGGCAGCAGUGGGGAAUUUUGGACAAUGGGCGAAAGCCUGAUCCAGCCAUGCC
rnacentral:rRNA from 1 species